AGAGUUUGAUCAUGGCUCAGGAUGAAUGUUGGCGGCGUGCCUAACACAUGCAAGUCGAACGAGAAGCUAACUUCUGAUUCCUUCGGGAUGAUGAGGUUAGCUUGAAAGUGGUGAACGGGUGAGUAACGCGUGGGUAAUCUACCCUGUUUAGUGGGGGAUAACCCUCCGAAAGGAGGGCUAAUACCGCAUAAUAUCUUUAUCCCAAAAGAGGUAAUGAUUAAAGAUGGCCUCUAUACUAUGCUAUCACUUCAGGAUGAGCCCGCGUCCUAUUAGUUAGUUGGUGGGGCAAUGGCCCUACCAAGACCUCAAUGGGUAGUCGUGUCUUGAGAGGAUGCACGGCCACACUGUGUUACUGACAUACUGCCUAGACCUCCUACGGGAGGCAGCA
rnacentral:rRNA from 1 species